rnacentral:rRNA from 1 species
CUAGCUGUAAACGAUGGAUACUAGGCGUUGAGAGUAUCGACCUUCUCAGUGUCGUAGCUAACGCGUUAAGUAUCCCGCCUGGGGAGUACGCGCGCAAGCGUGAAACUCAAAGGAAUUGACGGGGGCCCGCACAAGCGGUGGAGUAUGUGGUUUAAUUCGAUGCAACGCGAAGAACCUUACCAGGGCUUGACAUGUCCGGAACCCUGCCCAAAGGCGGGGGUGCCUACGGGAACCGGAACACAGGUGGUGC